ACGGCUCAGUAACACGUGGAUAACCUGCCCUAAGGAAGGGGAUAACCCCGGGAAACUGGGGAUAAUACCCUAUAGGUUACAGAUGCUGGAAUGCUCUGUAACCGAAAGUUCCGGCGCCUUAGGAUGGAUCUGCGGCCGAUUAGGUUGUUGUCGGGGUAACGGCCCAACAAGCCAGUAAUCGGUACGGGUUGUGGGAGCAAGAGCCCGGAGUUGGAUUCUGAGACACGAAUCCAGGCCCUACGGGGCGCAGCAGGCGCGAAAACUUUACAAUGCGGGCAACCGUGAUAAGGGAACCUCGAGUGCCUGUAUAUGCAGGCUGUCUGGGUGUCUAAAACACACCUAAAGAAAGGGCCGGGCAAGACCGGUGCCAGCCGCCGCGGUAAUACCGGCGGCUCGAGUGGUGGCCACUUUUAUUGGGCUUAAAGCGUUCGUAGCUGGGUUAUUAAGUCCCUUGGGAAAUCCGACGGCUUAACCGUCGGGCGUCUAAGGGAUACUGGCAAUCUUGGAACCGGGAGAGGUGAGGGGUACUUCGGGGGUAGGAGUGAAAUCCUGUAAUCCUCGAGGGACCACCUGUGGCGAAGGCGCCUCACCAGAACGGCUUCGACAGUGAGGGACGAAAGCUGGGGGAGCAAACCGGAUUAGAUACCCGGGUAGUCCCAGCCGUAAACGAUGUGCGUUAGGUGUGUCAGUGACCACGAGUCGCUGAGGUGCCGAAGGGAAACCGUGAAACGCACCGCCUGGGAAGUACGGUCGCAAGGCUGAAACUUAAAGGAAUUGGCGGGGGAGCACA
rnacentral:rRNA from 1 species